rnacentral:lncRNA from 1 species
UGGAAACGUUAACUGAACUGAACGUUAACUGUGGACAUUAAUUAUUCUGAUGAGACUUGAUGAGUAAGAGACCAAAUUCGAGAAUCGCUAUAUCUAGAGAAAUAAAAGAGUAAAGGCGCA